UGCUGUAUUUAGACCCUUCUACAAAGAAAUUUGUUUUACAUGCACAUGUAUAAAAAUUGCGGUUUUUAUCCAACGCAAUCAUAUGAUUGAACGUAGUUUUCAAUCAUAUACUUGUUUAUAUAUAUUAUCCGCUUGCGAGAAGUUGGUAAAAUCAAAGGUCCCUGUCCGAUUCAUUAAAAGCGGCGAGUAACACCCUCGAACAGAAUACUUCGCUCUUUUACUUAUUACUUUCUGCCCCUUCUUAACUGUAUCCCUAUUAUUAUACCCCCGCUUUAAAAAAGGGGGGUAUACUGUUUUACCUCUGUCUGUCAGUCCGUCCGUCAGUCCGUCCGUCCAUCAGUCCAUCAGUCCGUCAGUCAGUCCGUCCCAUGAAACUUUCGUCACAUUUUUCUCAGGAACUACACAUCCACCCUUUCUGUAAUUUGGUAUCAACAUUUAUAUAUGUCAGCCAUACCGUGUGAUGCGUUUUCAGAUUCAUCACUUGACAACUUCCUGUUUACCGAACACUUGUCUGAUUUUACACAUGAUAGCCAAGUUGAAAAUUUUCGUCACAUUUUUCUCAGGAACUACAAUACAAGGAUUUCUGAAAUUUGGUUUCAGGAUUUAUAUAAGUCAGCUACACCGUGUGAUGCGUUUUCAGAUUCAUCACUCGACAACUUCCUGUUUACCGAACACUUGCAUAUUUUUACACUAUUAAUAUUAUCCACUUGCGGCGGGGGUAUCAUCAGUGAGCAGUAGCUCGCAGUUUCACUUGUAUUUUCAUCGCGAUUGACAACAUCUUGUAAGUAUUUGCCCCCAUUUCUUGCCGAAGUGGAUCGUCCG
rnacentral:lncRNA from 1 species